rnacentral:rRNA from 1 species
AGAACGAACGCUGGCGGCAUGCCUAACACAUGCAAGUCGAACGAGACCUUCGGGUCUAGUGGCGCACGGGUGCGUAUCGCGUGGGAACCUGCCCUUAGGUUCGGAAUAACUCCUCGAAAGGGGUGCUAAUACCGGAUGAUGUCUUCGGACCAAAGAUUUAUCGCCUAUGGAUGGGCCCGCGUUGGAUUAGCUAGUUGGUGAGGUAAAGGCUCACCAAGGCGACGAUCCAUAGCUGGUCUUAGAGGAUGAUCAGCCACACUGGGACUGAGACACGGCCCAGACUCCUACGGGAGGCAGCAGUGGGGAAUAUUGGACAAUGGGCGAAAGCCUGAUCCAGCAAUGCCGCGUGAGUGAUGAAGCCUUAGGUGUAAAGCUCUUUACCGGGAUGAUAAUGACAGUACCGGAGAAUAAGCCCGGCUAACUCCGUGCCAGCAGCCGC